GUGUGUGUGUGUGUGUGUGUGUGUGUGUGUGUGUGUGUGUGUGUGUGAGUGAACAGGUGCAUGUGUGUGUGUUAUUUUUCCUGUGGUAGUAAUGUCUCUAACCCUUAACCAAAAGCCAGAAUUCUUCAUCACGAUCAAGUUGACAUAUUUCUCUCAGGUUGUGUGUCCGCUGUAUUUCUUGCUGUGAUUUUGAAUGCAGCCACCUGUACAACCAACAUUACUGCCAAAUCCUUGUUGUUAUUGAGUUGUUAUUGAUUCCUACUAGAAUGUAACUCUACUAACUGUAUCAUUUAAAAAAACAUCUACUAGAUGUUGUAUUUAUAGUCUUUACAGUAUUUACUGAAUACUAGAGGUGCCUCCAAAAUUGUACUCUAGUCUAGUGCAUUGUAUAGGAAAUAGGGUGCUAUUUGGGCUGCAGACUAGGUAUUGACAGUAUGUUAAGAGGAACCAGCUACAGUAGUAGUUAUCAGACUAGGUAUUGACAGUAUGUUUAGAGGAACCAGUAGUUAUCAGACUAGGUAUUGACAGUAUGUUUAGAGGAACCAGCUACAGUAGUAGUUAUCAGACUAGGUAUUGACAGUAUGUUUAGAGGAACCAGCUACAGUAGUAGUUAUCAGACUAGGUAUUGACAGUGUGUUUAGAGGAACCAGCUACAGUAGUAGUUAUCAGACUAGGUAUUGACAGUAUGUUUAGAGGAACCAGUAGUUAUCAGACUAGGUAUUGACAGUAUGUUUAGAGGAACCAGCUACAGUAGUAGUUAUCAGACUAGGUAUUGACAGUAUGUUUAGAGGAACCAGCUACAGUAGUAGUUAUCAGACUAGGUAUUGACAGUAUGUUUAGAGGAACCAGUAGUUAUCAGACUAGGUAUUGACAGUAUGUUUAGAGGAACCAGCUACAGUAGUAGUUAUCAGACUAGGUAUUGACAGUAUGUUUAGAGGAACCAGCUACAGUAGUAGUUAUCAGACUAGGUAUUGACAGUAUGUUUAGAGGAACCAGUAGUUAUCAGACUAGGUAUUGACAGUGUGUUUAGAGGAACCAGAUACAGUAGUAGUUAUCAGACUAGGUAUUGACAGUGUGUUUAGAGGAACCAGCUACAGUAGUAGUUAUCAGACUAGGUAUUGACAGUAUGUUUAGAGGAACCAGUAGUUAUCAGACUAGGUAUUGACAGUAUGUUUAGAGGAACCAGCUACAGUAGUAGUUAUCAGACUAGGUAUUGACAGUAUGUUUAGAGGAACCAGCUACAGUAGUAGUUAUCAGACUAGGUAUUGACAGUAUGUUUAGAGGAACCAGUAGUUAUCAGACUAGGUAUUGACAGUAUGUUUAGAGGAACCAGCUACAGUAGUAGUUAUCAGACUAGGUAUUGACAGUGUGUUUAGAGGAACCAGUAGUUAUCAGACUAGGUAUUGACAGUAUGUUUAGAGGAACCAGCUACAGUAGUAGUUAUCAGACUAGGUAUUGACAGUAUGUUUAGAGGAACCAGCUACAGUAGUAGUUAUCAGACUAGGUAUUGACAGUAUGUUUAGAGGAACCAGUAGUUAUCAGACUAGGUAUUGACAGUGUGUUUAGAGGAACCAGUAGUUAUCAGACUAGGUAUUGACAGUAUGUUUAGAGGAACCAGCUACAGUAGUAGUUAUCAGACUAGGUAUUGACAGUAUGUUUAGAGGAACCAGUAGUUAUCAGACUAGGUAUUGACAGUGUGUUUAGAGGAACCAGAUACAGUAGUAGUUAUCAGACUAGGUAUUGACAGUAUGUUUAGAGGAACCAGCUACAGUAGUAGUUAUCAGACUAGGUAUUGACAGUAUGUUUAGAGGAACCAGCUACAGUAGUAGUUAUCAGACUAGGUAUUGACAGUAUGUUUAGAGGAACCAGUAGUUAUCAGACUAGGUAUUGACAGUAUGUUUAGAGGAACCAGAUACAGUAGUAGUUAUCAGACUAGGUAUUGACAGUAUGUUUAGAGGAACCAGUAGUUAUCAGACUAGGUAUUGACAGUAUGUUUAGAGGAACCAGUAGUUAUCAGACUAGGUAUUGACAGUAUGUUUAGAGGAACCAGUAGUUAUCAGACUAGGUAUUGACAGUAUGUUUAGAGGAACCAGUAGUUAUCAGACUAGGUAUUGACAGUAUGUUUAGAGGAACCAGUAGUUAUCAGACUAGGUAUUGACAGUAUGUUUAGAGGAACCAGUAGUUAUCAGACUAGGUAUUGACAGUAUGUUUAGAGGAACCAGUAGUUAUCAGACUAGGUAUUGACAGUAUGUUUAGAGGAACCAGCUACAGUAGUAGUUAUCAGACUAGGUAUUGACAGUAUGUUUAGAGGAACCAGCUACAGUAGUAGUUAUCAGACUAGGUAUUGACAGUAUGUUUAGAGGAACCAGCUACAGUAGUAGUUAUCAGACUAGGUAUUGACAGUAUGUUUAGAGGAACCAGCUACAGUAGUAGUUAUCAGACUAGGUAUUGACAGUAUGUUUAGAGGAACCAGUAGUUAUCAGACUAGGUAUUGACAGUAUGUUUAGAGGAACCAGCUACAGUAGUAGUUAUCAGACUAGGUUCAGGAAAAUAGGAUAAGGCUAUGGAAGUUCUGUUCACUGCAAGUCCACAGACAAGGGAAGCAGGGUAGGCCAAACUCAAACCAGACCCCAGGGGGUCAGAAUCCACAGACAAGCACUUCCUGAUAGAACCUAAUCCUGGAUAGUAGACCUCAUGAGAACCAGAGAUUCAUCUCUUAAAAAACAAUGGGGUCCACAUGAGAGUCCGAGUCCUAAAUGGCACCCUAUUCCUUAUAUAGUAUAGUAUAGUAUAGUAUAGUAUAGUAUAGUAUAGUAUAGUAUAGUAUAGUAUAGUAUAGUAUAGUAUAGUAUAGUAUAGUUUAGUGUUGUUAUUUUGACCAGAGUCCUAGUCUAAAAUAGUGCACUAUAAAAGGAAUAGGGUACCAUUUGGGAUGAAGCCUCACUCUGCUGACCAGGAUCAGCUUACACAGCUCUGUUUGUUCUAUAAUGGAACCAAGAUGGCGAUCACCGUCAACAGGGAAGGAGUCAGCAGGUUUCAAUACAGAUGGUUAGGUUUUACUUCACUGUAUGUGAUGUAAAGGUUCAUAAGACGGUCAUCACAUAGUGCUGAUAACUUAGGUCUAAGUAAUGUUCAUUUAUGACUAAUAAGUUAUGACAAAGACCUGUGGUGAAUGUUCUUUUGACAGUGUGUUUUUGUGGGGGGUGUGAGGUGUUGUUGGUUUGUUUGUUUGUUGUUUGUUUGUUACAGAUACUAAAUAAAUAUGGCUUCUGUUUGUGGGAUACAAUUUUUAAAAGUGCAUGCAGCAUGUGGCCAUUUAAAUAUAUCUCCCAUGCUGUUGGUCAGGAGAAUACUGUGAAGAACUGUGAUUAACCCAGAAUGGAUUUGUAUGUCCUUGUUUUCUAGAUGUUUUCUAAUUGAGUGCUCUUAAUGGUGCCAAGCAUGAUGACGAAUUUAACCAUUUUCAUAGAUAGAUUUAGGAAGUUUCAUCUCUAACCUAGCUCUUCUCUCCUAAUCCA